CGGCGAGUGAAGCGGCAACAGCUCAAAUUUGAAAUCUGGCGUCUUUGGCGUCCGAGUUGUAAUUUGCAGAGGGCGCUUUGGCAUUGGCAGCGGUCCAAGUUCCUUGGAACAGGACGUCACAGAGGGUGAGAAUCCCGUACGUGGUCGCUAGCCUUUACCGUGUAAAGCCCCUUCGACGAGUCGAGUUGUUUGGGAAUGCAGCUCUAAAUGGGAGGUAAAUUUCUUCUAAAGCUAAAUACUGGCCAGAGACCGAUAGCGCACAAGUAGAGUGAUCGAAAGAUGAAAAGCACUUUGGAAAGAGAGUUAAAAAGCACGUGAAAUUGUUGAAAGGGAAGCGCUUGCAGCCAGACUUGCCUGUAGUUGCUCAUCCGGGUUUCUACCCGGUGCACUCUUCUAUAGGCAGGCCAGCAUCAGUUUGGGCGGUUGGAUAAAGGUCUCUGUCAUGUACCUCCUUUCGGGGAGAACUUAUAGGGGAGACGACAUGCAACCAGCCUGGACUGAGGUCCGCGCAUCUGCUAGGAUGCUGGCGUAAUGGCUGUAAGCGGCCCGUCUUGAAACACGGACCAAGGAGUCUAACAUCUAUGCGAGUGUUUGGGUGUCAAGCCCGAACGCGUAAUGAAAGUGAACGGAGGUGGGAACCUUUCGGGGUGCACCAUCGACCGAUCCUGAUGUCUUCGGAUGGAUUUGAGUAAGAGCAUAGCUGUUGGGACCCGAAAGAUGGUGAACUAUGCUUGAAUAGGGUGAAGCCAGAGGAAACUCUGGUGGAGGCUCGCAGCGGUUCUGACGUGCAAAUCGAUCGUCAAAU
rnacentral:rRNA from 1 species